rnacentral:pre_miRNA from 1 species
AGAUGCAUUACUGGGCGACUCUCACUCUGGCAGAAGCUUUAUUAUUUAGCUCUCUGCCAAAGGAGAUUUGCCCCGCAAUUCAUCU